CGUGUGAUACCAUAAAUUUCUCUUUUAAAUUGUUUGAUUCAUUUUUCUUAUGUAUGCCAUCUUUGAGAUGCACUUCAAUAUUGUUCUAUCAUUCUAUCCUCAUUUGCUUGGCGCUUGCUUAAACAUCAAAACCUGCUAUUACACAAUUAUUACAUUGAAUAUGUAGAUUUGUUUUGCAAAAUGUUAACUAAAACAAGUCACUUAAGAUACUAGCAUAUUAGGAGACCUGAUAAGAAUCACACAUUAGAUACUAGUAGAUUGGAAGAUCGAUUAAAAUCACACAUUGAUAUGCUUGAUAAUUAAUAAUAAUAAAAAAAGAACAAAGUAUUGUUUUGACAUUUGAACUAAAAAACACCAUUUCUUUUAUGGAAAAUACAAUUAUAAUUUUGAUAGUUUGGGUUUAAUUUUCGUAUGGUCUCUAGUUAUAAAAAAAUACAUUUUUACUUUUGAGUGUUUUUUUAAUUUUGUUCCUAGGUUUUAGAAUAUUAACUUUUGAGUUUUAUAAAUAUACAUCUCAUUUCCACGUUUCUUCCAUUUGAACUCCAAAUGCAAUUUUCUUUAAAUUUAAACUACUUAAACCUCUUGCUUAAAUUAUCAUGCUUGAAGAUUUCAAAUUUAUACGUGAGAAGUUCCAAAUGUAUACUCAAAGUUUAGAGAGCAAAAGGGACAACUUUACCAUUUUAUUUUUAUUAAUUAUCAGCUCAAGUCUAUGUCCCUUCUAAAAUUGGAAAUCCAUAUGUUUUUCAUCAACAACCAAACGAAAGACAUACGUGUUUACAAUAAAUAAAAUCAAUUUGAUCAAACAAAAGAUAUUUAAAAUAAUAAAAUAGAAUACAUUGUACUAAAUUGUUGGCGUUUUCAUCAUAGAUUUAAUAUUAACCUAAACAGUGAAUACUUUUGUUAUAUCAUAGAAAAUUUUAUUAAACAUAAAAAAAAAAAGCAACAUAUUCAUUACAAUAAAUACUAGAAGAUUUUUAUCUAUUAAUUUAUAAAAAAUAUUAUCCAUAAAAUUUUUGGAUAAUUAAAAUAUUUUAGUCCAUUAUUUAAAAUUAGGAAAUAUUGAUCAAUAUACAUUUGAAAGGUUAAUAGUUGAGAUUUAAAAGAAGACGUAAAACAACAGAAAAAUGGGGGGAGAGAAGGAAUAUAGAAGAGGGGGAAAUGGUGCAAUAAGCGCGUAAGGCGUAGGUAUGAGGGAUGUUGAGUCUGACUGGGAGAUUUAUUUUUCCCUACUUUAUUUGAAAUUUAGAUAUGAGGUUAGGUUAUUAAGAAAUGAAUUUUGAUAGAGAAAGGGGAUAAUGUGGCGUCGCAUUUAUGAAGGGGGGGGAAUAGUGGGCCCCAACAAAACGGGGCACACGUUGUCAGUUUGGCGUUAAAUAAAACCCAGUCGCAGUGGGUCCACUCGGGACAGUCAAACUUGUGGACACCGAACUCUCGUGAAACGUGUCCGAUAACUAUUGGAUCAUUCUUUCGACAGAUGGCAUCUCCACUUGUCCGGGACCCUUCCCCUCUCGCGUCCCAAUCCUGGAUCAUUUUCAGUUUCGGCCAAAUCCGGCCCGCUUUAUUUCCACCAGGUUCCUCAUUGAAACUCCUCUCUUGUGGGCCCCUUUUGGAAGCCUUUUUUUCUUUUUUCUUUUUUUUACAAUUCAUGGCUUUUGGAAUAUAUAUAUAUAUAUAUAUAAUAUAUAUAUAUAUAUAUAGCUGUGACACGUUACAAUUCGGGUUUUCACCUCUUGUCAUGUGUCUGAAACGGCACAGAGCAGUCAACGUUCUAUAAAAGAGCUAAUUUUAAGAUAAAAAAAAGGACUCGUCACCAGUUUUUUUCACGAUAGUCAUUUGUGUAUAAGAAAAAUGUUUGCACAUGUAAUGUUGGUCAAAUUUUAAAAUUUGAAUUGAAAAUAUUUUUUAAUUGUUAAAAAAAUUAAUUUCUUAUUUUAUCCCUCGUUACUCCAUAUUUGAAACAAUGAAUGAAGAGCAUUAUAUCAAUUAUAUAAUGAAUAAAUAUUUUUUUCACCUCAUGAGAGUGAGAAAUUAGUACAACUUCUCAUAAUUAAGUGUAGGAACAGUCUUCUAAUAAAGAGAUUUGAUAAACCAUUAAUUAAAAUCAUUUUUUCUUGAAAUCAAAUCUUAGACUUCAAAAGAUGUGAUCCUCACCUCAAGAAUUUUAGAAAAUUGGACUUUCAAAUUACUUAGAUUCUAUCGUAGUAUUUUGCUUAAGAAAAACAAUAUAAGUUAUUAAAAAAGAUUGAUUAAGAAACCUUAUAAAAUAAUAGAUUAAAUUUUGAAUGUUUGUAAAAUAUAAAAAAAGAUUAUAACUCUAAAGAAAAUUUUUUUAGUUGACUUUAAAAUGAGUUUUGGGAAAGAUUUUAAAACUUAAAAUAUUCAUAUUACAAGUGACAAUCGAAAAUUUUAAUUGGAAAGAUUUAUAAAUUUUAAACAAAAAAAAAUCAAUAAAACUAAAUAUAAAAAUUAGAUAGAUAAAACAAGAUUAAAGAAGAAACAUAACCAAUUAAGCAAAUAUAAAAUAACAUAUCGAGAUUUUAAUAAAAAUAUAUUGUACACAUGUCUCGAACUUCUAAAAGAAAUCAACUUCUUCACCUCUAGAAGUUCUAGAAAAUUAGUCUUUUCAAAUUUUCUGGAUUUCAUCGUCAGAAAUUUUAUAAAAAUAAUAUGCGCCAUAAAAGGAAUUACAAAAAAAUAAAUCUUAGACUUUCAAAUCUCUUCAAAAGAAAUUUAACAAGUAAGUAAUUAUUAAAUUGAACAUUGAAUAUGGUAAUUAAUGCAAAAGAUUGUAUAAACAACCCAUAUCAUUUAAAGAGCAUGAAUAAUAGAUUAAUGAAAAUAAAAAAUACAUAUUAACAUUUUAGGGAAAAAUGAUUGGAGAUCAAUCUCGGAUUCCAAAAGAAUCGACUCCUCACCUAAUGAAUUCUAGAAAAUCAAACUUUCAAAUUUUCUUGAUUUUGUCGUCAUAUGUUUUUUCUCAAAAGAUAAUUAAUUGAAAAUAUUUUAAAAAAACAACUAUUAACAUUUAAAUAAGCAUAUAUACAAGGAGAAAAAAUGUAAAAUAAAUAAUAAUCUAUAUGUGAGACCCGUACCUAAAAUAAAAGGGCAAAAUUUGAACAAGUACUUGAAGAAAGCGUUUUGAAUAGUACUAGGCAGUAAGAAGUAGGCGAUUAGAGUUCAUCACGAGAUGAAGCGAAGGCGAGAAAACCUAAGAACGCGAAUUGAGCUUCAUCACAAACGAAGACUAGGUAAUGAAGAGUAAGGAAACUUUUGGGAAAUUUUGUAAGAAUACUUAAUGGGCUAGAUGUAAGGGAUUAAGUCAAGCAUGAUUAAGUUAUACGCGCACCAUUAAGAGUAGAAGUUGACAAGUUAUUAAGAGGCGUAGGAUGACUAAUCAAAUUUAGGACUAGUAUAAAUAAAGGAAGAUAUUAAUUGGAUUAUUUAAAGGUUACUUUGAAAAUUUGAAGAGGAAAAGCUCAGCGCUAAGUUGUUGUGGUGAAAGGACUAUUCGAGAAGAGGAAGUAUAGGAUCGUUCUAAUUUCAAAUCAACCAAGUUUUGUGAGUGAUUUUCUUUAUGUAUUUUAAAAUGUUAAAAGCUUUCUUUUAAGAUCUUGCUAAUUUGAAAUGAUAAGAAUGUUUUCAAAGAGAUUUCAAAUUCAAGUUUAUACUAUGUUUAAAGUAUAUUUAUGUAUUUUAAAUUAAUGUGAAAUUGUGUUCAAACCAUUAUGUCUGGUUCCUAUUAAUGAGCUAACUGUUAUGUGCAUAUAAAAAGUAAAGGAAGUCAUGCAGAAAAGGACUGCAUGAUGAAAUGAGGUGGGACAGUGCAUAAAAGAUGUGUAUUGCGCUUUAGUCUAAGCAAGGAGGAAAAGGCCAAGAUAUUCUUGGAUGCUUUUCAUAGUAGUUGAAAUGCCAGAUGAUGAGUCUUAGCGUGGAUGGUUUCAAAGUUCUCGACAAAAGGAUAAUAAGACUAAUGAAUGUUAUGCGAAUUGAUAUGUUAUGAAGUAAGGCAAUGGGCCUUUUUGAAUUAAAACUUUAUGCUAUGAAAAGUGUUUCCAGAAAAGUUUUCUUAAAACCUCACUAUGUCUAAUGUGACUUAUGUUUUAAAAGAUUUUCCUUCUAGGUGAUCAGCCGUUAAGAUCAAGUGUGAGAAAAGAAGGAAAAGGAAGCUAGGCGAGGAGGCUUGCAAGGAGUUUACUUAAAUUUGUUAUUGUUUGUAUCUAGAACUUAUUUGUAAAGGUGCAUGUAAAAUGUAUGGUUUAAGCUAAUAAAAGUUCAAGUUUGUAUUACCUUCCACUAUGUUAUGGUUCUCUAUUGCAUAGUAUUUUAAAAGUAUUUCAAGUUAUGUUUUAUCGCCUUAAGUUAAUGAUAUAAAUUGUAAGUUAAGUCAUUAGGCGAUUAACCAAAGCUUAAAGACUUAAGCUGAGCUUUCUAGUGUUUAAAUAUGUUGGGAAUGCUUAAGUCGUACAGCGUAACGCAACGCAUUAAGGUGCUUGAUUGCGGGACGAGAUGUGACAGUAUAAGUAAAAUAAAAUAAGAAACAAAAUUACUAGAAAAAGAAAGAAGAAAGUAAGAACAAACAAUGAAUAAAAAGGUAGAUAAACAAGAUAUGAAACAAUGUACAUAAAAAAUAAAUUUAUUAUAAGAAAAAGAAAAAGGUAGAAAUAGAAUGAUAAAAAAUAUGGAGAAAAAAUAUAAUAUUAAAUAACACAUAAAAAUAAGAAAAUACUCAAGAAACAACAAUGGAAAAAAGACUUAAAUAAAAAAAGUGCUAAUUAUAAAGAAAUUAAAAAUACAUAUAUAAGGAAUAAACUUUAAUAAUAAAUUAAGAAAAAGAAAGAAAUAAUAAUAAAUAAAUAAAAAGAGAUUUAACAAUAAGAUAUGGAGAAAUAUGUAUAAAUAAAUAAAUAAAAGAGAGAUUCACAAGCAAACAAAAAAAAAAUGUUGAAAUUCAAAACAUUGAAUGGAUCAUUAUUGGGCCAAAAUCCUACCAUACUUAGAGUUUUUUUCUUGUGUAUUGGAUUCAUGACAUUGUAGAGAGUUUUUUGGAGGAUGAUAAAGAUCUAGAGAUUUGUUAGAAGAGAAAACAAAGUAAAUGUGUAAUAUUUUGGUUUUUUUAGAAGAGACGAAGGCUAACAGAAGCAGAGGCUAUUGAGGUUAGAGGUUUGAAUGAAGAAGAGGGAUCGUGAAAGUUGAAAAAAUCUCUUGAAUUUUUUUUUGUUGUGUCUAC
rnacentral:lncRNA from 1 species